CCUACGGGAGGCAGCAGUGGGGAAUAUUGGGCAAUGGACGCAAGUCUGACCCAGCAACGCCGCGUGAAUGAUGAAGGUUUUCGGGUUGUAAAGUUCUUUUGUCAGGGAUGAACAAAGUGACGGUACCUGAAGAAUAAGCCACGGCUAACUACGUGCCAGCAGCCGCGGUAAUACGUAGGUGGCAAGCGUUAUCCGGAAUUACUGGGCGUAAAGGGCGAGUAGGCGGGUAAGCAAGUCAGCUGUGUAAAUCACGGGCUCAACCUGGGCCCUGCAGUUAAAACUAUUAGACUUGAGUGCUGGAGAGGCAAGCGGAAUUCCGUGUGUAGCGGUGAAAUGCGUAGAUAUACGGAGGAACACCAGGGGCGAAGGCGAAUUGCUGGACAGUAACUGACGCUGAGGCGCGAAAGCGUGGGGAGCAAACAGGAUUAGAUACCCCAGUAGUC
rnacentral:rRNA from 1 species